CUACGGAGGGUCCAAGCGUUAUCCGGAAUCAUUGGGUUUAAAGGGUCCGUAGGCGGGCAAUUAAGUCAGAGGUGAAAUCCCACAGCUCAACUGUGGAACUGCCUUUGAUACUGGUUGUCUUGAAUUAUAGUGAAGUAGAUAGAAUAUGUAGUGUAGCGGUGAAAUGCUUAGAUAUUACACAGAAUACCGAUUGCGAAGGCAGUCUACUAACUGUAUAUUGACGCUGAUGGACGAAAGCGUGGGGAGCGAACAGGAUUAGAAACCCUAGUAGUCC
rnacentral:rRNA from 1 species